CUUUUACAGUUCCAUAUUUAAAAGAAUAAAACAUUAUUUACAUUAUUUACAUUUGAUGGAUAUUUGUCCUCAUCUUGUUUGUUGUUAACACAACAUUUCGGCUGAUGUACUCUCCUGCCUUCAUUAUGUAUCUUGGGGAAGUUUCGAACCUAAGUUCUCACUCCUAAGGUAUUUUUCAGAUGUAUCAU